rfam:Hordeum vulgare subsp. vulgare, WGS project CAJW01000000 data, contig: morex_contig_57754
UACGUACUUCCUCCGUUCCAAAAUUCUUGUCUUAAAUUUGAAUAGAUAUUAAUGUAUCUAGUCACGUUUUAGUAUUUUGAUACAUCCAUUUCUAGACAAACUUAGGCAAGAAUUUUAGGACGGAGGGAGUGCUUA